UUAGCUCAGUGGUCUUGCUGCCUGCUGUGCAAGCACAAGGACCUGAGUUCAAUCCCCGGUACCAAAAAAAAAAAAAUUCUGCAUUCUACGCCUAGCCAUUCAUUCAUUCAUUCAUUCAUCAGUUCAGAAAGCAGCAUUGCACACCUGGUGUCAGAUUCUGACUAACAGUGUGAGAUCUGGGGCCUGCCAUCCAGAGGUUCUGGGUCUCUGAGGAGAGACACAGGGGGUCUUUCAGCACAGCAUGAGGCAUGGUGUCAUAGGAUGUGGAGAGGUGCAGGGACCCCAGCUCUAGAUACAUCCUGGGUGUCAUUGGGAGCUUAGCUAGGCAGAUUUAGAGAGAGCAGUGCAAUCUUUUGCUCCUGUUCUGGUUUUCCCAGAGGCUGAGCAGAUGCUCUUGGGCUUGUGGCACCUAGAACUGCUUUUCCUGGAAGUUGCUCCUCUUGUAAGCCACCAGCUUCAGGCUCCAUGUUAGAGCACAGAGAAUGGACUAAGACCCCAGCUGUCCCCACAAGGCUCCCAGGUAUCUGCAGCAGGAAGCCCUGCACCUCCUAGCCUAUAGCUUCCUCAUGUCAGGGUGAACACUACAGCCGAUCCUUUGGAGUCCUGGUCAGUGCUCUUCUCUGUACCCCGCACCCAGCUCCAGGGAACCUUCCAAUCCACCUCCAGAACAGACCUAGAACCUGCUGUCCUCACAGCUCAUGCUGUCUGGCCACCUGGACCAUGGCAGGGCCUCCUGACCCUGAAACAUCUGCUCAACUUGCUGCCAGCGGUGGGGUCCCUUCACAACCACAGCCUCAGCCAGGACCCUGCACCUCUGCUCCAAACUCCUGUGAGGCCUUGGAGCUCUGACCCAGGCUUGUGUGUCCUCACUGAAUUUCCACUCACUUGGGCUUUGAUGUCCCUAGUGGCCAUGUCUGCUGAACCGAGGAGGAGGUCCUGAGGGUCCCUCUUUCACUAGGAGAAGGAAACAAAGGCUUCACUGACUCUCGGGGCCCAGCACAUCCUGCCCCAGCUCCGACAUCCUCUCUUGCUCCUGCUGCUGUUCCUGGAAGCUGCUAAGACUGCUAGGGUGCUCCUGCCUCAGGGCCUUUGCAGUAGCCAGGUCCUCCUCCUGCAGAUUUGUGGCUUCCUCCUCACCCCUUCAAAUAUCUGCACAGAGAUCUGCCUCUUCUUGAGCCUUCUCUAACCUCGCUAUUUAAAAUCAUAGUGCCCCCACCACCACCUUUCUUUCUUUCCCCUGAUUUAUUUUUUCACUGCAUCUUCUGAGUUUUGGUUUGUAUUUUUCAUCUCUAGUCACCGAAUGCAAGCUCAAGCCUGUCAUCUCUUGGCUUGCUUUUUUUCCCAGUGCCUGGCACGGAUCAGGCAAAGGCAUUUGUUGAUUGGCAACAAAGUCAGGAUUACUGCUCUUAAACUUAAGCUCCUUUUAUUAUUUUGUUUGAGCAAAUGCCAACAUUUCCUCCCAGUAGAGCUUGUCUUACAUAAUUGCAGUUAAUUAUUCCAGUUAGCGUGGGAAGAGAGAUUCCCUCAGGGACACAGGGGAAAGAAGAAAAAUCCAGACAGUAGAUUUUGACACUUGUUUCUAAUGUCUCUGAAACUACAGGAAAAGAGAAGCUCUAUAGAGAGUGGGUUUGUCUUAAUAAGGCCAAGUGGAAGCCAGAGUGAUGGCCCAGGGAAGCCAGGCCUGAAUCAUAGAACUUGUGUCUGGGAGCAGCAGGCAGAGAAGGCAGACAUGGGACAAGCAGUGACCUCCCUCCUGUCUCCAUACCUGCCCCUCCUCUGGAGCCCUGUGGUCAGGACCCUCAGGGCUGCACUGGAUGCAGCUGCUCAGCUUGGGCUACUCCUAUGCUGCCUGAGUUGGAGUUUGGAUGGCUGUGGCACCAGAUGUCUUCUCUCUGUUUCCUGGGCUGUGGGCUACUGCCCCAGGCUGCACUGAGCCCUCUCUGCCUGUGUGGUCUCCUUAACCUGCAGGAACAGCCCCCAACUGCCAGGAGUUUGUUUGCAGAUUUGACUUCUGAAGUCCCCUCUCCUAAAAACAAAGGGUCUGAAGAUCAAAGUCAUCUGUGAAAGGUCGAAUAGAUUUAAUCAACUUCUUUAUUGCAGGUAUUUUAUGUGUUUUAUGCCUGUUUACGUGUACUGGUAUCUCCAUGAGAUGAUGUUUGAAUGCAGAAUACUUGCAAUAUGUUUGUUCAAGAAUCCUGGAAUCUUUAAUUAGGAGCGUCUCUGAACUCACAGAGCUUCACAGUAUAUAGCAUACAAGAGUUUAUAAAAUACCCUUUUGACUUUUCUCAUCCUCCAAGGGGCUGUUCUGGAUUUGGCCAUGAACAUAAAGAGUUUGGCACUUUGGAGGAAACUCAGAGCUGGAAAACACCUGUAGAGCACGUUUGCUCCAUAACACACCCUUGUUUUAAGGGAUUCUGUGUAUGUGCUGCAGGUGUGUGCAUGUGUGCGAGUGUGUAUGACUUUCCGUGUGUAUGUGUAAUUGUGACUGUGUGUGUACACAUGUGACUCUAUAGGUGUGUGAUUGCAUCGUGCAGUUAUGCAUGUGAUUCUGUACAGGUGGUCAUGUGUGGUCCUGGGGGAGUGUGAUUGUGUGUCCAUGACCAGUACAAGUGGCCAGGCAGCAGUCCCUGUGGGAGUCCACGAGGGGCUCCUCCUGUCCCUCCCUUGGAGCAGUGGCCCCAGGAGCACCUCCCUGCCUUUCUCUGGGGCACUGGGUUAGCAGCUGGGCUGUCAGAAGCACAUGUGUUUCCUCAGGGACCAUCACACCGGACACAGGCUCACUUUGCCUGAUACACUGCCAGCUCCAAGCACCCUCUGUCCUGAAACUCCAGGCCCGAGGGAGAGUAGGGUAUGCAUGGGCACCCUGUGCACUUCCAGAUCCUUCCCUUGGUUCUUACAUGGUGGGGACACUGUCUGCUUCCUCCCUGCUAUAGCCUCAGCCAUGUCACAGGGCUGGGUCAGCCAUCUGUGGAUUUAAUGAUUGCAUCCUUCAGCAAAAGUUAUAACAUGCUUUUUCCCCAUUGUGCAGUGGAGGAGACUGCAGCAACAAUCCCACGGUCAGAAUCACCGUGUGGGACUAGCAGGCCCCACUGAGACCCCUUGGCUGCCUAGCCCUGUCCAAGGUCCCAGCUCUCUAGGGAUCUCCCCUCCAUAAGAUAGGUAUGGUAAGCUCAGUCUGCCUCGAGGUCAUGUUGUCACUGGCAAGUGUGUACCUCCCUGUUUGGGGUCCAUGAAGAAAGGUGACAUUCACUGUGAUGUGUCAGCCUGACUGGAAUAAGAACAGCCUGGAAGUUUAGUAAAGCACAGCUCUGGGUGCAUCUGUGGAUGUUUGAAUUGAGGUCAGCAAACUGUGGGGGAGACUCAGGCCUGAUGUGGGUGGCACCAGCCAAUAAGCUUGUAGCCUGGAUUGAAUAAAAAGGGAAAGAAGCAGGAAGCAUGCCUGUUUUGAAGCACUACGGUCUUCCUAGUGGGUAUGUCCUUUGCUGUUUGGGGCCUCUGGUGGGUUCACAUAGGUGAAUCACAUCAGAGACCCUCACAGAUUUGGAGCAGGGCUCUGGUAUCAUCCAUAGACUGUCACACUUCCUUUAAGAAACAGCUCCUGGUCUGCUGCUGGCCCUUAGUGGAAACUGAAUGCUUGACCAUGGGAUGCCAUGUGACUGACCUGAGCUGCCCAUCAUGAGCUGGGUGCUCUGUGGCCCACCAGAUCAUAAAGUUGGAUGUCUACAGCAACAGCCCAUCAUUAAAUGGAAGUGGUAUAUAUGUGAUCGGGGUGAGCAGAUCAAGAAGGUAUAAGUAAGUUACAUGAAGAAGUUGCCUAAAUCCUUCUCUUAUUAUAUUUCCUUCUAUCUCCUAGCAUGCCCUUGUGGCCUCACGGGUGUACUGUAUGAUCGAUCAGCUGACAGAGGAAGAGAUAACUAGGGCCUAGCUUAUGGAUGGUUCUGCACAUUAUGCAGGCUGAACUAGAAAGUGGACAGCUGCAGCAUUACUGCCCCUGUCCAGGACAUCCCUGGACAGUGGAAAAGGGAAAUCUUUACAAUGGGCAGAACCUCAGGCAAUGCACCUGGUCACAUAUUUUGCUUGGAAGAAAAGUAGCAAGAUGUGCAACUGUAUGAUGCUUUGUGGGCUGUAGCCAGUGAUCUGGCUGGAUCUUGAGAACUUGGGGGAAGGAACAUGUAUUUGGGAAAUGACAAAUGCAUUUGGGAAAGAAGUAUCUACAACCCACAGUGCCUCACUGGCUACUGGUUCAGUCCUGAGGACUCUGUAAUGGGCUUCUGGCUGCAAUGGGCUUCAAGGGGUCCAUACCUCUUGUCUCAUUUUUACACCUCCAAGGAAUGAACAGAGGCUGCUCUUCAAGUAUAGACUGAGAAACACAAAGACCCCAAAUCCAUAAUACUCUAAAAUCUAAAAUUUGUUGAGCAUCAGCAGGACACCACAAGUGGAAAUUUCCACACUCUGAAACUUUGCUUCAUGUGUGAAAUUUAUAAGAAGUUUUAGGGUUUCCUUUGACACAGCAAUAACUUCAUGUUAAUUAUGUUAGUUUCAUAUGUUGGCUUUUAUAGGUAGAUUAAAUAUAAAUGGGAGAAAUGUUUAUAAUAGAUCAUUCACAUAUACUUGUCUCUACUAAGUGUAUUUUCAUCCAGGUAUAUAAAAAAGGGGUUAAGAUUGCUUUAUUCUUUGUUCCUCAUUAAGUAUAACAUUACUAAGAGUUAAAAUUCUAAUGUAUAAUUCUAUAAAAAGGGAUAUAUAUGUUUCUAUUUUAAAAGAACAUAUUUUAUCUUACUAAGGAAAAAAGUACCUUUUCCAAAUUCAGAAAUUUUGAAGUUUGUUUUAAAGGUAAAUUUAAAGAAUGAGGACAAGGCAGAAAGAAGAGGGAGAAGUAAAGGAUAUGGGUAAGAGAAUAUUUUUGGCAAGAAAAGAUCUGUGUGGUGAGAAGUUGAACUACCAGAAAUUAAGAAGAAAGAUGAGGACAAGAUCAGAAAGCUACUGUACAUCACAAAAAGUUUGUCAGUGAUAUUUGUGAGAGAAAAUUUCUAAGUAUGAUAAGGUUGCCUAUAAUUUCACAAACUUUAAAGAGUUUUUUUAAAUGCAAAAUUUCUAACAUUACUGUGAAAUCCAAUUCUAUGUUUAAAACAAUACUAUGUUAAAAUGUUGAUGCACUAAGUAAAAAUUUACAGAAAGUCGUCUAAGAAAAGGUUUCUGUUUAUCAAGAUAAUUUCUUCUGUUUUCUUCUCUUAGGUCUUUGAUUACCAAGGAAACUGAGUCUUAAUAGAGUCUGGAUUUAUUUAAAUGAUCAGUUUAUAACUGUGAUUAAAUGAACAUCUGUUAUUUUAGGUUACUGUAGUAUGCUUGACCAUUCCUAUGUCUGAGACUAGAACUGUAUAAUGCAAGGACUACCCAUGCUGUGAGAAUGUGCAAAGGUUGUGAAACUAAUGAUGCAUAAGUUUGAUGCAUAGUCAGUAACCAGUAUGUGCUGUCUCACACAACAUGCACAGCAUCUGCACCUUGAACUUAUGAAAUGGUCAGAAAAACCUAACAUUUCUGCUGCUAUCCAGGACCAUUGCAGGGGAGGGGGAGGUUCCAUGUAGACAACCUUGCUAUUUAAACUAUAGUCCAUGUCUACUGGAUGUAACUCAGUAAUUUAUUGCACAAAUGAGACACACUUGUAUAUCAGGUAAUAAGUCUAUUUGAGGCCAUUAACAAUGUUUCUACACUUCAUCUUAGCCAAAAGGCAGAGAAGCGAUUAUUAACAAUGUUUCUUAAUCUUGUAUGAGAUCCAGAGCCAUUCUCUGAUUUUUGCCACUAUGGUUAAACUUUGAAGAUGUCUCAAGCACCAAAUUUACAUGAUUAUAGCUAUAGUACUGAGCCAUCAAUUCUGAAUUUUGCCUUGAAAGUGAAAAGUUAAGUUGAUAUGUAAACAUUUCUAUGCAACAAUGCUGCUAAUUAUUACUUCUUUGUAUGUCAAAUGCUGUCACUCCCUCAGUGUGCAAGCCUUCUAAUUUUAUUAGAAUAAUUAGAUAUGGUUAAACACAGGAAUUCUAGGGCUGGGGAUUUAGCUCAGUGGUUCCACCAUCUGCCUCGCAAGCACAUGGUCCCAAGUUCAAUCCCCAUACCAAAAAAAACCAAAACCAAAAAAAAACCAAAACCAAACCACAGGUAUUCCAAAAUUGGUGACCUAAAAGACACAUUUGUAAGCAAAUAUAUUCUACUUAAAAGGACUCUAAUUCUGACACAACUAGAAUUAUGUUUCUUAAACUAUUAUGCUGUUUUGCUUUUAUUAUCUUUGUAUUGCAUUUUCCGUGUAAUAGUUUGCAAGUGUGGUCUGUUCACAUUCCUCAGGGUUAUGGCUUCUAACAGAAAAUGUGAACAGAAUUUUGGGAAGAUAGGCCAUUCCCUGUGAGAUGGAUGGGCUCUGACACAGACUCCUCACAGCUAAAAAGAAUUACAACAGGAUUACAGUUGCUGCCCCACAUGGAGAAUAGUAUAACUGACCUUGUUGGUGUUCAACAACUGAGGCUUGGAGACCAAAGCUAAGGGAGGUAAAAGGACAAAGAGGUCAGCCAAUAAUUUGGUCCUCCAAGGUCAUAACAGGUCCCCUCUGCCAGGCCCCUGAACCUGCAGUGAGUAACCCAACCUCCUGAGCAGGGGGAUUGUUGGGCUCCAGAGGACAGAAACGCUACGGUGUGCAUUGUGCUAAAGGAGGGUCACAACAGAGGGGAGUGUCCCCAUGCUUCCAAGGAAGCGAUAUGGUCACACAAGACCACAAUCCAUCUGGGCAGUUGACACAACCAGUAAGGAUCUGAGGGAACCAAAAGGCUCUGGUCUUCACAUGUCCCCAAAAGUAACCCCUGAGAAGCCUUGAGUGACCUUAACAGCAAAGGGAAGCUAGUUUGGUAGCAUACUCGGUCUCAAGCAAUCAAUGGGAAAGUAUAACCAGAGAGUGAAUUAGUUAUUAACAUUUUUAAAAAUUAGAGAGCUGGGGAUAUACCCAGUGAUGCCCAGCCUAUCUGGCAAGCGCAAGAUCUUGAGUUUGUUACCCAGUACUGCAAAAAGAGAGAGAGGGGGGAGAGGGAGAGGGAGAGGGAGAGAGAGAGAGAGAGAGAGAGAGAGAGAGAGAGAGAGAGAGAGAGAGAGAGACAGACAGAGGAGAGAGAGCUUUUGUCUCUUUCACUUUAAGAUUAAGGAGCAUAGGGCCGGGGAUUUAGCUCAGUGGUUCUGCUGCCUCACAAGCGCAAGGUCCCAAGUUCGAUCCUCGGUACCAAAAAAAAAAAAAAAAGAUUAAGGAGCAUAAACUCUCUCAGAGAGAAGAAAUACAG